GAGCGGCGAACGGGUGAGUAACACGUGAGCAACCUACCCUCAACUCUGGGAUAAGCCUCGGAAACGGGGUCUAAUACCGGAUAUCAUCACGGACUUCAUGGUUUGUGGUUGAAAGUUCUGGCGGUUGGGGAUGGGCUCGCGGCCUAUCAGCUUGUUGGUGGGGUAAUGGCCUACCAAGGCGUCGACGGGUAGCCGGCCUGAGAGGGCGACCGGCCACACUGGGACUGAGACACGGCCCAGACUCCUACGGGAGGCAGCAGUGGGGAAUAUUGCGCAAUGGACGAAAGUCUGACGCAGCAACGCCGCGUGAGGGAUGACGGCCUUCGGGUUGUAAACCUCUUUCAGCAGGGACGAAGCGAGAGUGACGGUACCUGCAGAAGAAGGACCGGCCAACUACGUGCCAGCAGCCGCGGUAAUACGUAGGGUCCGAGCGUUGUCCGGAAUUAUUGGGCGUAAAGGGCUCGUAGGCGGUUCGUCACGUCGGGAGUGAAAACUCGGAGCUUAACUCCGAGCCUGCUUCCGAUACGGGCAGACUAGAGGUAGGCAGGGGAGAGCGGAACUCCUGGUGUAGCGGUGGAAUGCGCAGAUAUCAGGAAGAACACCGGUGGCGAAGGCGGCUCUCUGGGCCUUACCUGACGC
rnacentral:rRNA from 1 species